rnacentral:siRNA from 1 species
GUUAUAAUGAAAAGGUUAAAUUGC